UACGUAGGUGGCAAGCGUUGUCCGGAUUCACUGGGCGUAAAGCGCGCGCAGGCGGUCUUCUACGUCUGGGGUGAAAACCCGGGGCUCAACCCCGGGACUGCCUUGGAUACGGGAAGACUUGAGGAUCGGAGAGGCAAGGGGAAUUCCACGUGUAGCGGUGAAAUGCGUAGAGAUGUGGAGGAACACCUGUGGCGAAGGCGCCUUGCUGGCCGAUUUGACGCUGAGGCGCGAAAGCGUGGGGAGCAAACAGG
rnacentral:rRNA from 1 species